CAAACUAAAGCACAGAACCUACAGGAGUGGGAUAAUAGCGCCACACAAACAGACACACACAUGCAUGUGUUCAAUUACAACAACUGGAGAAAUGACUACAUACUCAUGAAAGCCAAUAACUCAUCGAACAUCAUCUUCAACCUCCCACAUGUCUUCAACGUAUGAUGUUUUUACUACAUGAUCAACUUCCAUGAAAUCUACGAUGUUUUUUGUACAGACAAGCACACCCUGCCUUGCUACCAUUAGUCUUCUCUGCCUUGCUUGAGAAUCUAGAACCAUAGACUUUUUUCUCUGUCUGCUUGAUCUUCUUAGUGCCUUUGAUCUUCUCAGCAGACCAGCAUGUAGCUGCCUGCAACUUCGGGUCACCUGAAGAAUAUGGAGAAAUAUUUACAAAAGUUUAAGAAAUUGCAUAGCGUCGGCAGAAAGUGUGAUGUCGCAAUUACAACACCGGAUCUCAACAACAUAUUGCAAUCUCAUUUUCAGAAAGAAGUAUCAUCAUAUACUGUAGAAAGUUUAUAAUUCUGUGAACAUAUACUGUACAUCUCAAAACAGUGGUCCGUUUCGAGUUAUUAAUAAGUAACAUGCAGACAGUUUCAUUCUUUGCUCGGCCAACCAACAAUUGUUUUUAUAUUAGAAAUAUAUGGAAGCCAAACUAAUAAUACUAUUAAAAGACAAAUAUGAUACAUGAGUUGACAACUAGCACUGAUGUUAUUCAAGCACAGUCAUACUUGCAGUAAUUAAUACUUCAUAACAGGACCAUAGGCGCAAUGGUUUCCUACCACGAAAUCCCUUGUAUAGAGAGUUGUACCUAACAGUUUGCUGCCAUCAGCCCAUCACUUC
rnacentral:lncRNA from 1 species